rnacentral:rRNA from 1 species
AGUCACUGACAUUAGAUACCCCUGUAGUCCAGGGUGUAAACGCUGCGAGACUUGGUGUUGGAAGUCCUUUGGGGGCAUUCAGUGCCGGAGAGAAGUUGUUAAGUCUGCUACUUGGGGAGUACGUCCGCAAGGAUGAAACUUAAAGGAAUUGGCGGGGGAGCACCGCAACGGGAGGAGCGUGCGGUUUAAUUGGAUUCAACACCGUAAAACUCACCAGGGAAGACUGUUACAUGAAAGCCGAGAUGAAGACUCUGCUAGAUUUUCAG